GCUUCGAGUGCCUCGCGCCCAACCGCACCAUCGCGUAUGAAUCGGCCGGCGCCGUAACGGCCGCGACCCUGGCGGACUGUGGGGCCUCGUGCUACAGCUCCGGCAGCUGCAUUGGCUUCACCUACACCACAGCCGCCACCAGCAACUGUUUCCUGAUGGCAGACAAGCUGUUCUUCGGCACGUCGGGGAGCAACGGCCUGGCAAGCGGCACCGACGACGUGACGACGUGCCUGCGUACCACCAUGGUGCGACAGCUGUUCGGUGACCCGCCGCCGGUGGCGUCCCCGCCGCCGCCAGAGUUUCCGCCGAGCACUCCGAUGCCGCCCACCGGUGGCGGUAUGACGUAUCCGCCGCCGCCAGGCAUCAGCGCGUUCACUGUGGAGAUGGCAGCCAUCCCCAUCCGCUACACGCCCGUAGGCGCCUGGACGACUACCCACAGCUACUACUGUAACGAGUAAGUAUCGCGAACAUUUGGGGACUCGCAUGACAUUAUUCAUGUGCCAAUGCAAGGGGUUUCUAUGGUGAAAUGUGUUCCGCAUCCACCUUCCCCUACCGCUACCCGCUUCUGCCCGAACUAGCUCCCUUCCCAACCGGCCUCUCCCGCAAACGCAGUGACGCCACCAUGAACGGCGUCACGGUGGAUGACGCUGGCGGCGACUACCUCACGCACCUGGCGGUUACCAGCUGCACCAAUGCCCUGGGCCCCUACUUGGGCGGCGCCGGCGCCUUUGGCAGCGCCUCCGGAUCCGCAACCGCCUUCAGCUGCACGGACGGCUUCGACGCGGUGCGCGCCGAAGAGGCGUACACGCCCCCCGGCGGCUCGCCCGCCACCCCGCACCCGCCCGUCUACGUCGCCUUGCGCUGCUCCACCACGGGCCUGUGGACCUCGCCGCCCUACGGCAGCGGCAGCGGGCUGAGCAACAACCGCACGCUCACGACCGUCACCUGCCCCGCCACCACCGCCAUCCAGACGCUGGAUUUCGCCUCCAACGGCGGCUACAUCACCAUCCUGCGGAUCACGUGCGCCUCCGCCACGGCGCCCACAGCCUCCGACACCAUGGACGCCUGCCCCGCGGUCUCAGGCUUCAGCCUGCUGCCAGGCUACACCGACCCGGCUGCCACCAACACCAGCACCUACACCACCUUCAAGAUGGAUGCCUUCUCCGACUGCAACGUGGACAGCACCUGCACCGCUGUGGCGUGGGGCCAGAACGGCGGCGGCUUGUUUUCAGAGACGCAGAUUGCGGACCUUGUUUCGCUGCAGGUGCGUCGACUUAGCGACUUGCUGUCUGCGGCAAGCACACUAGGGGUAGUCAUGAGCCCCUUACUCGAUACGACCUGUACUCCUGAGAACCUUCAGUGCUGGCACCCGUGCUGCCGAGUUUUGAUUACCGGAACUAAACUUCCACUGCCGCUGGCGUCCUCCGGUGUUGCUGCAGGGCGUACGCGCCGGCGACGGCGGCGGCUCCUGCUUGGGCACGUUCGUGGAGGUACCGCAGGCGCCUCCGCAGUACUACUGCGCGCCCGGCAUCUUCGUGGGCGUGGUGCCUGGCGCCAUGGCGUCAAUGCCGGCAGCCACCGCGGCGCACUGCGCGUAUGAGUGCGAGGCCGCGGGCAACUGCAAGGGCUUCGUGGUGGAUGUGUCGGCCGGCACCGGGUGCGACCUAUGGGGCAUGGAGCCGCUGCCCAGCGAGUACCCAUUCACGGUGCGUUGAGUGUGAACUGGUUGUCGGGCAAAAUGAUUCGCUUUGCCAUACGCCGCACUUGGUCUGCCAUUGCAUUUGCCACUGCAACACGCACGGGCGCCGUGGGCGCUGAGACCUUCCUUCCGCGCCCCACGUGCCUCCAUCCCUCCCGCCAUCCCGCCCGCGCAGGUGUCUUCCAGUACGACCGUGAUCGGCUGCUGGCCGCAGGCCAAUGCGCCCUACUUCUGCCUGCCCGACGGCGUGUCGUUCUCGGGCGUGUCCGUCUCCACGCCCAUCAAUCGCGCCACGCCAGAGCAGUGCCGCUUUGACUGCGACCAGGCCCCCGGCUGCUACGCCUACAGCUUCGACCCGGUCACCUUCAGCUGCGCGCUCUUUGCGGACCUGCUGGCCGUCGCCACCUCCGUCAUUGCGACGGCCAACCCCGUGCGCACGUGCUUCAAGACGCCGCAGCACCCCGACCUGUCCGCCUCAGGCCUAGGCCGCGCGCAGGGCUCGCUGUGCUUCCCCGGCGUGGACCUGGGAGGGUUGAAGACGGACACAGUGACUUCCAUCGCCACGCCAACCGCCUGUGCAAAGCUGUGUGCAGACUACGGCUGCGGCCACUGGCGCCUGCGCACCGAUGGCGCGUGCGAGCUCUUCGCGCCCUACACGUAUCUGGGAAUGGGCGCCGGCGCUGGCAUCCCCUACGGCGUGGACAACACCACAGCCAUGAGCUGCCUCGCGCGCGUGACCGGCAGCUUCGAGUGCCUCGCGCCCAACCGCACCAUCGCGUAUGAAUCGGCCGGCGCCGUAACGGCCGCGACCCUGGCGGACUGUGGGGCCUCGUGCUACAGCUCCGGCAGCUGCAUUGGCUUCACCUACACCACAGCCGCCACCAGCAACUGUUUCUUGAUGGCUGACAAGCUGUUCUUCGGCACGUCGGGGAGCAACGGCCUGGCAAGCGGCACCGACGACGUGACGACGUGCCUGCGUACCAC
rnacentral:lncRNA from 1 species